rnacentral:sRNA from 1 species
GCCGGGUAUGGUGGCAUGUGCCUGUAAUCCCAGCUACUCAGGAGGCUGAGGCAGGAGAAUCACUUGAACCCAGGAGGCAGAGGUUGCAGUGAGCUGAGAUCACACCACUGAACUCCAGCCUGGGUAACAGAGUGAGACCCUGUCUCAA